GAUGAACGCUGGCGGCGUGCCUAAUACAUGCAAGUCGAGCGAACAGACGAGGAGCUUGCUCCUCUGACGUUAGCGGCGGACGGGUGAGUAACACGUGGAUAACCUACCUAUAAGACUGGGAUAACUUCGGGAAACCGGAGCUAAUACCGGAUAAUAUAUUGAACCGCAUGGUUCAAUAGUGAAAGACGGUUUUGCUGUCACUUAUAGAUGGAUCCGCGCCGCAUUAGCUAGUUGGUAAGGUAACGGCUUACCAAGGCAACGAUGCGUAGCCGACCUGAGAGGGUGAUCGGCCACACUGGAACUGAGACACGGUCCAGACUACUACGGGAGGCAGCAGUAGGGAAUCUUCCGCAAUGGGCGAAAGCCUGACGGAGCAAAGCCGCGUGAGUGAUGAAGGUCUUCGGAUAGUAAAACUCUGUUAUUAGGGAAGAACAAAUGUGUAAGUAACUAUGCACGUCUUGACGGUACCUAAUCAGAAAGCCACGGCUAACUACGUG
rnacentral:rRNA from 1 species